rnacentral:rRNA from 1 species
CAGUCGCCGCGGGAAUACGAAGGGUGCAAGCGUUAAUCGGAAUUACUGGGCGUAAAGCGUGCGUAGGCGGUGAGUUAAGUCUGCUGUGAAAUCCCCGGGCUCAACCUGGGAAUGGCAGUGGAUACUGGCUCGCUAGAGUGUGUCAGAGGAUGGUGGAAUUCCCGGUGUAGCGGUGAAAUGCGUAGAGAUCGGGAGGAACAUCAGUGGCGAAGGCGGCCAUCUGGGACAACACUGACGCUGAGGCACGAAAGCGUGGGGAGCAAACAGGAUUAGAUACCCCAGUAGUCCCUGUCUCUUAUAC